UGGGGAAUAUUGGACAAUGGGCGAAAGCCUGAUCCAGCCAUGCCGCGUGUGUGAAGAAGGUCUUCGGAUUGUAAAGCACUUUAAGUUGGGAGGAAGGGCAGUAAGUUAAUACCUUGCUGUUUUGACGUUACCGACAGAAUAAGCACCGGCUAACUCUGUGCCAGCAGCCGCGGUAAUACAGAGGGGGCAAGCGUUAAUCGGCAUUACUGGGCGUAAAGCGCGCGUAGGUGGUUUGUUAAGUUGGAUGUGAAAGCCCCGGGCUCAACCUGGGAACUGCAUCCAAAACUGGCAAGCUAGAGUACGGUAGAGGGUGGUGGAAUUUCCUGUGUAGCGGUGGAAUGCGUAGAUAUAGGAAGGAACACCAGUGGCGAAGGCGACCACCUGGACUGAUACUGACACUGAGGUGCGAAAGCGUGGGGAGCAAACA
rnacentral:rRNA from 1 species